GACGAACGCUGGCGGCGUGCCUAACACAUGCAAGUCGAACGGGGCUAGGAAAGCUUGCUUUCCGAUGCCUAGUGGCGGACGGGUGAGUAACGCGUGAGUAACCUGCCUUUCAGAGGGGAAUAACGUUCUGAAAAGAACGCUAAUACCGCAUAAUGUACAGCUUUCGCAUGGAAGCAGUACCAAAGGAGCAAUCCGCUGAGAGAUGGACUCGCGUCCGAUUAGCUAGUUGUGGGUAAGGCUACCAAGCGAUGAUCGGUAGCCGGACUGAGAGGUUGAACGGCCACAUUGGGACUGAGACACGGCCCAGACUCCUACGGGAGGCAGCAGUGGGGGAUAUUGCACAAUGGGGGAAACCCUGAUGCAGCAACGCCGCGUGUGGGAAGAAGGUUUUCGGAUU
rnacentral:rRNA from 1 species